GAGUCCCCAAAAGGAGCGAUUUUCGCGUUGUAAUAAACGCCGGAAGAUCUACAACAAGAUAAAGUAAUCCCGCCCCUACCGAAUCUCAGCCAUUCUCUCUUAAUACUUAGCAGUUACGCUUUUACCUCAUCUGACUCACUCUCUCGACGGCACGAAGAAUCUGCCUCACUCUGCGAUUGAUACAAGUUUUGCAGAUCAGAUGGCAGAAGGAGGAAAUGCGUCAAGGUAUGUGAAAUUGACGAAAGAUCAAGCGCCUCGCGAGGACAUUAAGCCAGGGGAGCUAAAUCAGCCUAUUGAUGUCCCUCAGUUAACUGGUCGGAAGUGCAAUGAGUGUGGACAACCUUUGCCUGAGAGUUUUGAGCCUCCUGCAGACGAGCCUUGGACAACUGGGAUUUUUGGAUGUGCAGAGGACAAAGAUAGCUGCUGGAGAGGACUGUUCUGUCCAUGUGUCUUAUUUGGGCAGAAUGUUGAGCGCCUAAGAGACGAUGAUACUCCUUGGUCUACUCCUUGCGUUUGUCAUGCCAUUUUCGUUGAGGGUGGAAUUGCUGUUGCAGCUGCAACAGCAGCAUUUCAUGGUAUUGAUCCAAGGACGUCAUUCCUCAUCUGUGAAGGUUUAUUAUUUAGUUGGUGGAUGUGUGGCAUAUACAC
rnacentral:misc_RNA from 1 species